rnacentral:rRNA from 1 species
UACGUAGGGGGCUAGCGUUGUCCGGAAUCAUUGGGCGUAAAGCGCGUGUAGGCGGCUCGAUAAGUCCGCUCUGAAAGCCCGGGGCUCAACCCCGGGAGGCGGGUGGAUACUGUCGAGCUCGAGCCCGGAAGAGGCAAGUGGAAUUCCCGGUGUAGCGGUGAAAUGCGCAGAUAUCGGGAGGAACACCAAUGGCGAAGGCAGCUUGCUGGGACGGUACUGACGCUGAGACGCGAAAGCGUGGGGAGCAAACAGG